AUAGAUAAAUUUUAUAUAGUUUAGUUAAAUUUAUUUUGUAUUUAUUUUACAUAUAAAUUUUAGUAUGAGUAAUUCUUUAUUUUAAUAAUAUUAAUUAUGUUUGUAGUAAUUAAUAUUAAAUAUUUAAGAAAUUAAGAUUUAGUAAUAUAUAAAUUAUUAACAAAUUUUGUGCCAGCAGUUGCGGUUACACAAAAAUUAAAUUAAAUUUUUUUAGUAAUUAAUAAUUAAUUUAAAAAUUUGUUUAAAUUAAAAUUAAAAUUAUUAAGUGAAAUUUUAAUUUUAUAUUAUUUUAUUUUUAUUAGUAUGAUUUAAUAAAUUUUAUUAAUAAACUAGGAUUAGAUACCCUAUUAUUAAAAAUUUAAAUUUAUAAUACUAAAAUAGUAUGUAAUUUUAUUGAAACUUAAAUAUUUUGGCGGUAUUUUAGUUUAUUUAGAGGAAUCUGUUUAUUAAUUGAUAUUCCACGAAUAAAUUUACUUAAUUUAUUAUUUUGUAUAUCGUUGUUAAAAAAAUAUUUUUUAAUAAUUUAUAUAAUAUUUUAAUAUUAAUAUUUAAAAUUAAAUCAAAUCAAGAUGCAGAUUAUAAUUAAGAAUACAAUGGAUUACAAUAAAUUUAUUUAAAUGAAUUGUUAUUUUGUAAAAUUUAAUUGAAAGUGGAUUUAAAUGUAAUUUUGUUUAAUUUAAUAAAAUGAUUAAAAUUUAAAAUAUGUACAUAUUGCCCGUCGCUUUCAUAAAUAAAUUGGAAUAAGUCGUAACAAAGUAGAGGUACUGGAAAGUGUUUCUAGAAAGAU
rnacentral:ncRNA from 1 species